rnacentral:rRNA from 1 species
AGGACGAACGCUGGCGGCGUGCUUAACACAUGCAAGUCACGGGGGGUAGCAAUACCAACCGGCGAACGGGUGCGUAACACGUGAGCAACCUACCGAUUUGAGGGGGAUAGCCGGCCCAACGGCCGGGUAAUACCGCAUACGCUCAUAAGGCCUCCUGGUCUAAUGAGGAAACCUCCGGGGCAGAUCGAGGGGCUCGCGGCCUAUCAGCUAGUUGGCGAGGUCAUGGCUCACCAAGGCGACGACGGGUAGC